rnacentral:rRNA from 1 species
UGGGGAAUAUUGCACAAUGGGCGCAAGCCUGAUGCAGCCAUGCCGCGUGUAUGAAGAAGGCCUUCGGGUUGUAAAGUACUUUCAGCGGGGAGGAAGGUGUUGAGGUUAAUAACCUCAGCAAUUGACGUUACCCGCAGAAGAAGCACCGGCUAACUCCGUGCCAGCAGCCGCGGUAAUACGGAGGGUGCAAGCGUUAAUCGGAAUUACUGGGCGUAAAGCGCACGCAGGCUGUCUGUCAAGUCGGAUGUGAAAUCCCCGGGCUCAACCUGGGAACUGCAUUCGAAACUGGCAGGCUAGAGUCUUGUAGAGGGGGGUAGAAUUCCAGGUGUAGCGGUGAAAUGCGUAGAGAUCUGGAGGAAUACCGGUGGCGAAGGCGGCCCCCUGGACAAAGACUGACGCUCAGGUGCGAAAGCGUGGGGAGCAAACA